UACGUAGGGCGCAAGCGUUGUCCGGAAUUAUUGGGCGUAAAGAGCUCGUAGGCGGCUUGUCACGUCGGGUGUGAAAGCCCGGGGCUUAACCCCGGGUCUGCAUUCGAUACGGGCUAGCUAGAGUGUGGUAGGGGAGAUCGGAAUUCCUGGUGUAGCGGUGAAAUGCGCAGAUAUCAGGAGGAACACCGGUGGCGAAGGCGGGUCUCUGGGCCGAUACUGACGCUGAGGAGCGAAAGCGUGGGGAGCGAACAGG
rnacentral:rRNA from 1 species